GUUCUCCCCGAAAGCUAUUUAGGUAGCGCCUCGGACGAAUACUACUGGGGGUAGAGCACUGUUAAGGCUAGGGGGUCAUCCCGACUUACCAACCCUUUGCAAACUCCGAAUACCAGUAAGUACUAUCCGGGAGACACACGGCGGGUGCUAACGUCCGUCGUGGAGAGGGAAACAACCCAGACCGCCAGCUAAGGUCCCAAAGUAUUGCUAAGUGGGAAACGAUGUGGGAAGGCUCAGACAGCUAGGAUGUUGGCUUAGAAGCAGCCAUCAUUUAAAGAAAGCGUAAUAGCUCACUAGUCGAGUCGGCCUGCGCGGAAGAUGUAACGGGGCUAAGCAAUACACCGAAGCUGCGGCAAUGUCUUUUAGACAUUGGGUAGGGGAGCGUUCUGUAAGCCGUUGAAGGUGAAUCGUAAGGUUUGCUGGAGGUAUCAGAAGUGCGAAUGCUGACAUGAGUAACGACAAAGGGGGUGAAAAACCUCCUCGCCGGAAGACCAAGGGUUCCUGUCCAACGUUAAUCGGGGCAGGGUGAGUCGACCCCUAAGGUGAGGCCGAAAGGCGUAAUCGAUGGGAAACGGGUUAAUAUUCCCGUACUUCUGACUAUUGCGAUGGGGGGACGGAGAAGGCUAGGUGGGCCAGGCGACGGUUGUCCUGGUUCAAGUGCGUAGGCUUGAGAGUUAGGUAAAUCCGGCUCUCUCUAAGGCUGAGACACGACGUCGAGCUACUACGGUAGUGAAGUCAUUGAUGCCAUGCUUCCAGGAAAAGCCUCUAAGCUUCAGAUAGUCAGGAAUCGUACCCCAAACCGACACAGGUGGUCGGGUAGAGAAUACCAAGGCGCUUGAGAGAACUCGGGUGAAGGAACUAGGCAAAAUGGUACCGUAACUUCGGGAGAAGGUACGCUCUUGAUGGUGAAGUCCCUCGCGGAUGGAGCUGACGAGAGUCGCAGAUACCAGGUGGCUGCAACUGUUUAUUAAAAACACAGCACUGUGCAAAAUCGCAAGAUGACGUAUACGGUGUGACGCCUGCCCGGUGCCGGAAGGUUAAUUGAUGGGGUUAGCGCAAGCGAAGCUCUUGAUCGAAGCCCCGGUAAACGGCGGCCGUAACUAUAACGGUCCUAAGGUAGCGAAAUUCCUUGUCGGGUAAGUUCCGACCUGCACGAAUGGCGUAAUGAUGGCCACGCUGUCUCCACCCGAGACUCAGUGAAAUUGAAAUCGCUGUGAAGAUGCAGUGUACCCGCGGCUAGACGGAAAGACCCCGUGAACCUUUACUACAGCUUGGCACUGAACAUUGAACCUACAUGUGUAGGAUAGGUGGGAGGCUAUGAAGACGUGACGCCAGUUGCGUUGGAGCCGUCCUUGAAAUACCACCCUUGUAUGU
rnacentral:rRNA from 1 species